rnacentral:rRNA from 1 species
AUGAACGCUAGCUACAGGCUUAACACAUGCAAGUCGAGGGGAAACGACAUCGAAAGCUUGCUUUUGAUGGGCGUCGACCGGCGCACGGGUGAGUAACGCGUAUCCAACCUGCCCAUCACUUGGGAAUAACCUUGCGAAAGUAAGACUAAUACCCAAUGACAUCCCACGAAGACAUCUGAAUGGGAUUAAAGAUUUAUCGGUGAUGGAUGGGGAUGCGUCUGAUUAGCUUGUUGGCGGGGUAACGGCCCACCAGGGCAACGAUCAGUAGGGGUUCUGAGAGGAAGGUCCCCCACAUUGGAACUGAGACACGGUCCAAACUCCUACGGGAGGCAGCAGUGAGGAAUAUUGGUCAAUGGGCGAGAGCCUGAACCAGCCAAGUAGCGUGCAGGAUGACGGCCCUAUGGGUUGUAAACUGCUUUUAUAAGGGAAUAAAGUGGGUCUCGUGAGACUUUUUGCAUGUACCUUAUGAAUAAGGACCGGCUAAUUCCGUG